GAAAUAGGAAAGAUGGAAUCUAAACAUUGGGGAUUGUUCUCUAAACCUAACAAAUGUAGCUUUACGGAAAACUGACCACAUUGUCCUUUUGUCUUCAUUUUGAUGCCAACCAAGGAAAGUGUCAUCAUGGACAGCAUUUGGGAAAUAAACCUAGAGGACAAUUUGGAAUUCCAGGAUUGUUUCCUUGAGUGAAAUCAAGAUCCUUGGGCUGCACUAUGUUAUCUCCAAAUUGACCCUGAGACCUAAGGAUUUCCAUCGAGAGGCACAAAAGAGAAGCAACAAUUGCACUUGAUCAAACCAGAUUUGAUAAAAGUAAGAAGCGUGUAUCCAGACGACUACCUAGGAAUCCCUUCACAUAUGCUGGCUGUGUUGCUGAGCUACCUGCCUGAUCAUCUGGACUCCUUUGGUCUUCCUUUGCUUGUCACGAUCAAAGAGGAUCAAUGUCAAGCCUCUCUGGCCUUCGGGAUGAGCCCAUCUAGGCGAACUUCUGCUGAGACAGGCCUGCAGGAUCUUCAUGUUGGUCCCAGGUUGCUGUGUGAGGGCGGCACCAACCCAGACCCUCCAUCUUGGCAUCUUGCUCUUACUCACCAAAGAAUUCUGCAAUAGAACACGGGGCCCUAUCUGCGUGCCCCCUCUUCUGUGGCAGAGGUAAAUAUUCCAUUGCUGCCAAAGUUUCUAUUCAAGAUGGCUUGAAGAUGCCCACCAACCAGUUUGUCUACCUGUGCACAUGCCAAGAUCAUGAGGGCUCUUACCCCUGGCUGGGCUACAUGGAGGCAGAGGUACCAAGAGAUCCAGGACUCUUUUUCCAAGAGUGGUCCAAUUCCAGAUACUAGGUCUCCUUUAGAUGCCAGCUUCUGACCUGCUUCCUCCUGGCCUAGGCCUUCCUUUAUUCAUGGCUGACAUUACUUGCUUUGGAAGCAAACAUCAAAAGAACCGGGGUGUCCGGGCGGCUCUGUUGAACGUCUGACUCUUGGUUUCAGCUCAGGUCAUGAUUGCACGGUUCCUGGGAUCGAUCCCUGCAUCGAGCUCUGUGCUGCUGGUGCGGAGCCUGCUUGGGAUUCUCUCUUUCCCUCUCUCUCUGCCCCUCCCCCAUUCAUGCUCUCUCAAAAUAAAUAAAUAAAAUGUAAAAUAUAUAUAUGUAUCAAAAGGCCCUACCCUAGGAUACCUCUGGCCCAAGCACAGAGCCUGGAUCUCAUUCAUCAUCAUAAAGGACAGUGGACAGUGUAGGGUACCUGAAGGCCUUGGGCUUUCAGAUCAUGCAGACCUGAGUGUGAACUCUGGCUUCACUGUGCGCCCACUGGGAGGUUGGGUGAUUUAGCGAAAUGCUCUGCACUUCAAGUUCCUCAUUUGUUAGCAGGGAUUUAUAGUCUGCUUUGCACAGGCUUUGGCUGAAGAUGAAAUGUGACAGCUGUGUAAAGCUUAAAUAUGGUCCCUGGCACAUAGUCAGUGAUAAGUACCCCCCCACCCCGACUCUGAGGCUCUGCCCGGACCCUUGCCUGAGCUCCUGCUUCCUUUUUCUGUGCCCCUUAGUAUCUUACUUAAUUCCUGUCACAGGAGGUAUUUGGGCCUAUUUUCUGAGCAAGUGCCAGCCCCACACCACCAUUUCUACCUCCUUCUGCCCCACUUCCACCCUUCACUUCUAGGUCUGUGGAGCCAAACCUGAGGGUCUGGACUCCUGCUAGAUGGGACCCUAUGUCCCAGGGACACGGAAGAUCCAAACACAGUCCUCUGGCAGACUCUGCACUAUUAACUACUGAUUUGAGGGCAGUGAAUCCCCUGUGGUCUGUCUAGGGGGCAGGUGAUCAAGACUGUGGCAACAAGAGCGUUAGACCUUGCUGCUCAAAGUGUGCUCUGUGGACAGCAGCACUGGCAUCACCUGCGAGCUUGUUAGAAAUGCAGAAUCCUGGGCCACUGAAUUAGAAUCUGCGUCUUAACAAGAUCUCCAGUGAUCCAUUUUUCGGUGGAUAUCAAGGCUUGAGAAGCCCUGGACUGGACCCCAGAAGACAAGGGCCCCGGGAAUCAUUUCUACAAGAGAACGUGGAUUCUCCAUUCCAGGGAUGAGCAUUGGUUUCUAACAGAGCCUCCAAUAGCCAUUGCAGGACCUGCUGAGCAGCCUUUGUGAAGGAAAGCUCCAAGGAGGACAGGACACAGCACAAUGAGACGCUCAGCACUGACACAGCAUUCUGCACUUUGCACAAUUAAGGCUCUCACCUCUCCUCACCCUGCAGGGAGAAGGUGGCAGUACUGACAGGUCUUGAUGACUGAGGCAGAGGCAGAGAAAAACAGCCAACAGAGCGUUACCUCAGAGAGUGUGUGCUGGGAAUAAGGAGACCAGGAAAAUACAACCAAGAAAAUGAAACAGUCUUGAGCUGACCCUCGAAGCAAAUUUCAUAGGUAGUAUUUCAAUAAUGAGAAGAAAACUUCAUUGUUCUCGCUGAAGAUCCUUGGCCUGCCUUUCCCCUUCUCUCCCCUCCUCCCUUCUGGAAAGAGCUCAGACUAAGAGAGGAGCCUGUCUCUCUUUAAAGAGAGUAUUUGUUUCCAUGGUAACUUGCCUUCUUCAUCUUCAGAGUUGUAAACUGGGAAAUUCUAUUACAGGCUUACCCAGGCAGUUGCUUUUGAAAUGGUGUCUGAUAUUAGCUAUUUGUUUCAUUCACCUUUGCUGCUCAGGAAUCUUUUGAAUUUGGUGAUUCUGUUUCUAUCAAAUGAAGGAAGUAAAAUAAAGCAAUAUGAGCUGAUUAUAAUCGGUCUGAUUGGGCCUGCUGUGCAUUGUCGUCAGGAACUGUCGCUGGCUGUGUUGGUGGAGCCCCUGGGUGACUAUGUGAUGUUUGAGGCCCAGGCCCACCUCCGCACUGAUGCCCGCCAGUGGAGCCCAGCACACAGAGCUGCUUGGGGAUGCCCUGCAAGGUCAGCUGGAGAAGAAACAGAAACUACCUCUGUGGUCAAAAAAUGAUGUCUUGUUAAUGGAUUUCAUGUCUUAUCUAUGAGAUUCCGAUAUGGGCAGGUGGAGUUAUUACACUCCUGCUGUGAAAGCAACUGUAGUUCAAAUAGGUGCAAAUCAAGCAAGUAACCAAAUUAUCUGAGGCUGGUGAUUUUCAUUUCUGUAGUAGCACCAUAGUAUGCUUGGAAGGCUUCAAUUAUUGACUCUUGGAAUAGAAGGUUUUGAGGGUGUUUAUUGACCACUGUGUUUGCUAUGCAUGAAAUCUAUAUGGUUUUUAAUCUUUCUGAACCCUCAAACAAAUGACAUGUAAAUCAGUUUACAGACAGAAAAUCUCUUGAAAGCACCUUUUCUACCCAGGAAACUCAGCUACUUUAUUUCAUAGGAAAGCAACUUCAUGAGAUGAUCCUGGAAAAAAGACAUUCUAUUGGUUUUCCUUUCUUUAAAAAAGCUAAUUGCUAAUCAACAGUUUACCUCCAGCUUCUAAACAGAGUUCUUAGGUGACAUAUUAAUAUUUAAAAAUAUUUAGAUUGGGAUGAUGAAAAAGUUCUGGAAAUGGAGCGCUGUAAAACAAUGCAGAUGUACUUAAUGCUACUGAACUGUAUGCUUAAAAAUGGUAAAAUGGUUAAAAUGGCAAACUUCAUGUCAUGUGUAUUUACCACAGUGAAAAUAGUAUUUAGAAUUUUCCAAUUGGAAAAUACAAAAGUUUUUGCAAUUGCUAAAGAGAAGUACAUUAAGCAAAACACAA